rnacentral:rRNA from 1 species
ACCGGUUGAUCCUGCCGGACCCUACUGCUAUCGGGAUGGGACUAAGACAUGCUAGUCGUGCGCUUCUAAGCCAUGGUGGAGGCGCGGCGCACAGCUCAGUAACACGUGGUUAACCUGCCCUUGGGACGGAAACACCCCCGGGAAACUGGGGCUAAUUUCCGAUAGGUGAAGACUCCUGGAAUGGAUCUUCGCCUAAAGGGCGCUUAGGCCAUGCUUCUAGGCGCUGCCCAAGGAUGGGACCGCGGCCGAUCAGGUUGUUGGUGAGGUAAUGGCUCACCAAGCCUUUAACCGGUUCGGGCCGUGGGAGCGGGAGCCCGGAGAUGGGCACUGAGACAAGGGCCCAGGUCCUACGGGGCGCAGCAGUCGCGAAAACUCCGCAAUACGCGAAGGCGUGACGGGGCUAUCCCGAGUGCCGUCCGCUGAGGAUGGCUUUUCCCCAGUGUAGAUAGCUGGGGGAAUAAGGAGAGGGCAAGUCUGGUGUCAGCCGCCGCGGUAAUACCAGCUCUCCGAGUGGUGGGGACGUUUAUUGGGCCUGAAGCAUCCGUAGCCAGCUGAGCAAGUCCCCAGUUAAAUCCAGCGAUUUAAUCGUUGGACUGCUGGGGAUACUGUCCGGCUUGGGGGUGGGAGAGG